UACGGAGGGGACUAGCGUUGUUCGGAAUUACUGGGCGUAAAGCGCACGUAGGCGGAUUUGUAAGUCAGGGGUGAAAUCCCGGGGCUCAACCUCGGAACUGCCUUUGAUACUGCGAAUCUCGAGUCCGGAAGAGGUGAGUGGAAUUCCUAGUGUAGAGGUGAAAUUCGUAGAUAUUCGCAAGAACACCAGUGGCGAAGGCGGCUCACUGGCCCGGUACUGACGCUGAGGUGCGAAAGCGUGGGGAGCAAACAGG
rnacentral:rRNA from 1 species